rnacentral:rRNA from 2 species
GUCGGUGUUUAUUGCGCAGAGGUCACACCCGUUCCCAUUCCGAACACGGAAGUUAAGCUCUGCCGCGAAGACAAUACUUGGCUGGCGACGGCCUGGGAAAAUAUUUCAAUGCCGGCA